CCUACGGGCGGCUGCAGUGGGGAAUAUUGCACAAUGGGCGCAAGCCUGAUGCAGCGACGCCGCGUGCGGGAUGACGGCCUUCGGGUUGUAAACCGCUUUUGAUCGGGAGCAAGCCUUCGGGUGAGUGUACCUUUCGAAUAAGCACCGGCUAACUACGUGCCAGCAGCCGCGGUAAUACGUAGGGUGCAAGCGUUAUCCGGAAUUAUUGGGCGUAAAGGGCUCGUAGGCGGUUCGUCGCGUCCGGUGUGAAAGUCCAUCGCUUAACGGUGGAUCUGCGCCGGGUACGGGCGGGCUGGAGUGCGGUAGGGGAGACUGGAAUUCCCGGUGUAACGGUGGAAUGUGUAGAUAUCGGGAAGAACACCAAUGGCGAAGGCAGGUCUCUGGGCCGUUACUGACGCUGAGGAGCGAAAGCGUGGGGAGCGAACAGGAUUAGAUACCCCAGUAGUC
rnacentral:rRNA from 1 species